UCAGUCCCUACUCUUACCUACGGCCCCCAUAACCCAGGGGAUGUGUGCUAAGCUCUUCUAGAAAUCUCUGUGCUGCAGGAUGGGCUUGGGAUUUCUGUGGUGCAGUGGGCUUCCAACUGGGGAAGGAAGCAUGAGUCUCCCCUCUCUGCAGGCACCCCAGUCUCUGCAGGAGGUUCUCUGGAGCCCCUGCCAGCAGCUUACAGGAGUGCAAGGAGCAGCUGAGUCACAGUAUUUUACAUAAAAUUUCCUUCACAUUCCUAUCAAUUCCCUUUCAUCUGCUUACACAGGGUAGAUGUGGGCUGAGGAGGUGAGGAGCAGGCAGUGUGGAAGCCUUAACAUAUCCAGGAGGAAGGAACCCUUGGACUGUAGGGGUAUUUGACGCCCAUUGUCCUGGGCUUUGGGGUUUCAGUGGAAGGAGUUCCACUCCCAUCUGGUUCCUUAGAAGAGUAAGUCCUAGAUGUAUGAGAUUGGAAACUCCCUGAAUGCAAGGGGCAUGGGCUCUGCCUUACUCUCCUUUCACCUACAGCCACUGAGCCAGAGAAAGCCCAGGAUUGGAGCCCUGUGGACCCAAGUUCAAGUUCCUGCUUGGCUACUUACCCAGCUGUGGGUCUCAGGGAAGUGACCCAGCCUUUUCUAGCCUGUUUCCUCUGCUGGCUUUUAUGUGGUAAUGGAAGUAAUCCCGGCAGAAGUUCUGGCUCGAGGCUCAUUGGACCACUAUGCCUCUCAAUACCUGAUGAAGAAAAAGCAAGGGAAGGAGGAGAGGAAGAGGGAGAGAGGGUUGAAGCUACACAGGCAAUGAGGCACCAGAGCGGAUAUGUGUGU
rnacentral:lncRNA from 13 species